rnacentral:rRNA from 1 species
UACGUAGGCAGCGAGCGUUGUUCGGAGUUACUGGGCGUAAAGGGUGCGUAGGCGGUCCUUUUAAGUUUGGUGUGAAAAUCUCCCCGGCUUAACUGGGAGGGUGCGCCGGAUACUGAGGGACUAGAGUGUGGGAGAGGAAAGUGGAAUUCCUGGUGUAGCGGUGAAAUGCGUAGAUAUCAGGAGGAACACCGGUGGUGUAAACGGCUUUCUGGACCAUAACUGACGCUGAGGCACGAAGCGUGGAGCAACAGG